AAAGCUUAAAUUUAAAAUCUGGCCGCUUCGCUGUCGAGUUGUAAUUUAGAGAAGUGUUACCCGCGUUGGACCGUGUAUAAGUCUCCUGGAAUGGAGCGUCAUAGAGGGUGAGAAUCCCGUCUUUGACACGGACUACCAGGGCAUUGUGGUGCGCUCUCGAAGAGUCGAGUUGUUUGGGAAUGCAGCUCUAAAUGGGUGGUAAAUUCCAUCUAAAGCUAAAUAUUGGCGAGAGACCGAUAGCGAACAAGUACCGUGAGGGAAAGAUGAAAAGAACUUUGGAAAGAGAGUUAAACAGUACGUGAAAUUGCUGAAAGGGAAACGCUUGAAGUCAGUCGCGUUGGCCGGGGAUCAGCCUUGCUUUUGUGAGGUGUACUUCCUGGUUGACGGGUCAGCAUCAGUUUCGACCACUGGAGAAAGGCAUUGGGAAUGUGGCACCUUCGGGUGUGUUAUAGCCCUUUGUUGUAUACAGUGGUUGGGACUGAGGAACUCAGCACGCCGCAAGGCCGGGUUUCGACCACGUUCGUGCUUAGGAUGCUGGCAAAAUGGCUUUAAGCGACCCGUCUUGAAACACGGACCAAGGAGUCUAACAUGCCUGCGAGUGUUUGGGUGGAAAACCCGAGCGCGUAAUGAAAGUGAAAGUUGGGAUCUCUGUCGUGGAGAGCACCGACGCCCGGACCUGAUGUUUACUGACGGAUCUGCGGUAGAGCAUGUAUGUUGGGACCCGAAAGAUGGUGAACUAGGCCUGAAUAGGG
rnacentral:rRNA from 1 species